rnacentral:rRNA from 1 species
CUCGUAGGCGGCCAACUAAGUCACACGUGAAAUCCCCAGGCUUAACCUGGGAACUGCGUGUGAUACUGGAUGGCUUGAAUUCGGGAGAGGGAUGCAGAAUUCCAGGUGUAGCGGUGAAAUGCGUAGAUAUCUGGAGGAAUACCGGUGGCGAAGGCGGCAUCCUGGACCGACAUUGACGCUGAGGAGCGAAAGCUAGGGGAGACGAAC